rnacentral:misc_RNA from 1 species
GAUGAAGAACGUAGCGAAAUGCGAUAAGUAAUGUGAAUUGCAGAAUUCAGUGAAUCAUCGAAUCUUUGAACGCACAUUGCGCCCGCCAGUAUUCUGGCGGGCAAGCCUGUUCGAGCGUCAUUUCAACCAUCAAGCCCCCGGGCUUGUGUUGGGGACCUGCGGCUGCCGCAGGCCCUGAAAAGCAGUGGCGGGCUCGCUGUCACACCGAGCGUAGUAGAUUUUAUCUCGCUCUGGGCGUGCUGCGGGUUCCGGCCGUUAAACCACCCUUUUAACCCAAGGUUGACCUCGGAUCAGGUAGGAAGACCCGCUGAACUUAAGCAUAUCAAUAAGCGGAGGA